rnacentral:rRNA from 1 species
UGGGGAAUCUUGCACAAUGGGGGAAACCCUGAUGCAGCGACGCCGCGUGAACGAUGAAGCCCUUCGGGGUGUAAAGUUCUUUCGACAGGAACGAUAAUGACGGUACCUGGAGAAGAAGCUGCGGCUAACUACGUGCCAGCAGCCGCGGUAAUACGUAGGCAGUGAGCGUUGUUCGGAGUUACUGGGCGUAAAGAGUGCGUAGGCGGCGAGCCAAGUUUGGUGUGAAAUCUCCCGGCUUAACCGGGAGGGUGCGCCGAAAACUGGUUGGCUGGAGUAUGGGAGAGGAAAGCGGAAUUCCUGGUGUAGCGGUGAAAUGCGUAGAUAUCAGGAGGAACACCUGCGGUGUAGACAGCUUUCUGGACCAAAACUGACGCUGAGGCACGAAAGCGUGGGUAGCAAACA